GGAAGCGUGGCCGAGCGGUUGAAGGCGCACGCUUGGAAAGCGUGUAGGCGGAGCAAUUCGUCUCGGAGGUUCGAAUCCUCUCGCUUCCGCCA
rnacentral:tRNA from 1 species